UGCCACACACACACACACUUGCGGUAAUCCAAUGAGGUGGAAGAAAGGUGUGGGGGGUGUAGAAGACACUAAUUCUGCAAACACCUGCACAUGUCCGUAGCUGUGAAUACAUUUGUUGUCCCACCGAUUUCAUAGGGCUGGCUGUCCAUUAAGUUUACUGGCAAGACUGGAGCCUGAUGUGGCAAAGCUCCUGGGAGUGAAGGGAUCCACCUGGGCUCUGCCCACAAAAAGUCUCAGCACCUAUUCUGAGCAAGUCUUAGGGCACUAAAACAGACGGACUAAAUGUCAUUCUAUUCUGUGUGAUAAAGCUGUGGAGGAGGGAGCAUCCACUGGUGCCAGAAAAGCAAGUAGUGAGCUGUAGCCUCUGCGUGGUCUCUGUUAUCACCAGAGGAACCAGUGUUGGACUUGGAAUAGCCUUGCAUUCACUUGUGUGGGUGUCAAGGAUGACCAGGCUGGAUUCAGCCUGUCAUCCCCACAAAGCACAGUGCCCAGUGAGGCAGUGUCUCCUUAAGGCAGACACUGGCUUAAAUCACAGCAGGUGUAGCAGAUGUAUGCAUAAACCCCUACAUGCGCUUCUGCAAGUUAAAUGCUGCCUGCAGCAAGCUGCACGGUGCUGUCCCUGACCUGUGCUCGGUGCAGGCAAGAGGCUGUGCCACCCUAUACAACCUACUUGGACAAGGCCUUGUUGUGUGUCCCAGGUCAGAAAAAAACGUCCCAACUCACUUUUUCCUGUAUGAGGAGAAGGGAUACCAUAGGACAUGGAGCAGUUCUUGGUAGAUCCCUGCCAUCCUGCACAUCCCUUGCUGGCUGUACUGAAAGUGAAGGGAGAAGCAACCAUGGAGUGUGUUUAACUAACGCGGUGAGGAUUCCUCAGCCCUGGAGAACCUCCAGGAAGUGUGAGGCCACUGCAGGAUUCAUGCCAGUCAGUACCCACUGCCCGAUGUGAGGCACUGCUGUGGAAACACAAUCGCUGGCAUAACCACAUCCGUUCCAGGGCUGUGGGCAGAUGGGCAGAAGCUGAAGGACUGAGGUUGGUUUAGAGGCUACUAAAAGCUCUGGCUAGCAUCUCCUGCUUCUUCGUGAUCAUCACAAAGGCAGAGUAUUUGUCCAGGAAGUUAAAUCGUGUUGGUUAAGUUUGAUGUUUGAAGUUGAAAUCUGUUUUCAGGUCAAGUUCACCUUUCUGUG
rnacentral:lncRNA from 1 species